GCCACCAUCACCGUUUUCGCCAAUAAGAAGAGUUCUUAAAAUGACAAAAAGAGGACGACCAACAAAUUCACAACAAUCCCAGCAAGAGGAGAUGCAAUUGUGUAUGAGGACAACUAAAAACAAACGGUGCAGAGUGAGUUCCUUUCGUUGGAACCGUUCAAAGCUGUCAGCCCGGUCAUUAUAGACACUUGGUGCUCUUACUUGAAUAACA